AACGAACUGAACUCCCUCCCCAAACUGUGACCCCAGAUGACUCUUUCCUCUUUGUAAACUGGAUAUCUCAGGUAUUUUACUGCAGUGUUCCAAAGUUAUCAUUCCGGAAAGGGCACAGAUUCACUGAGGAUACAAGCCAUUCUGUUGCUGUCCUUGGAAGAUGGGUCUACAUCAGGUCCACCCUUCCAGAAUUCUACUGCUGCCCAGUAAUCUAUUUAAACUUGGAAACUUUCAAUAGAGCAGUCAUUUACAAUGUCGGAGCCUUGCGAUCUGAUUGUCUCAGACACACACAGAGGUCUCUGUGGAAGGGCACUUCUCAACAACCUCUAAAUGGGAAAGAUCUUCCAAUACAAAAAUCUCGGAAACACUGAUAUACAGGACUUUUCACCCCUUCAAGUUCAAACUUUGGAGAAUGUCUACAAAACCACAUUCAGAAUUUAAAUGUUUCUUAAGCAACAGUGUGGGGAAAACACAAAUACCCAAAUCCAAUUACAGCACAGAAUGAUAUUUCCAUUUUUCUUCCAGCUAACUGGGAAAUACUUUAAGUCAUAAUAAUCACCAGUACUCUUGGGAUUCA